AUACUAACCUUGCGUAGGGUGUACCGUGAUCAGGAAGGCGGUUGCCCCGGGCCGGCGCCGGCCAUUGCACUGCGGCCGGGGCUCGCCGGUCUGUGACUAUCCCAAGUGGGAUUGGUCAUACGUAUAAUUUUUGGUAGUUGGGACUAGCGUGCUGCGCAGUCCCAU